rnacentral:rRNA from 1 species
UACGUAGGUGGCAAGCGUUGUCCGGAAUCACUGGGCGUAAAGGGCGCGUAGGUGGCGCCGCAAGUCCAUGGUGAAAGCUCGAUGCUCAACAUCGAGUCGGCCACGGAGACUGCGGGGCUCGAGCACUGUAGGGGCAGAUGGAAUUCCGGGUGUAGCGGUGGAAUGCGUAGAGAUCCGGAAGAACACCGGUGGCGAAGGCGGUCUGCUGGGCAGUUGCUGACACUGAGGCGCGGACAGCGUGGGGAGCAAACAGG